rnacentral:rRNA from 1 species
UACGAAGGGGGGCUAGCGUUGCUCGGAAUCACUGGGCGUAAAGGGUGCGUAGGCGGGUCUUUAAGUUAGGGGUGAAAUCCUGGAGCUCAACUCCAGAACUGCCUUUGAUACUGAGGAUCUUGAGUUCGGGAGAGGUGAGUGGAACUGCGAGUGUAGAGGUGAAAUUCGUAGAUAUUCGCAAGAACACCAGUGGCGAAGGCGGCUCACUGGCCCGAUACUGACGCUGAGGCACGAAAGCGUGGGGAGCAAACAGG